rnacentral:rRNA from 1 species
UACGUAGGGGGCUAGCGUUGUCCGGAAUCAUUGGGCGUAAAGCGCGUGUAGGCGGCCCGGUAAGUCCGCUGUGAAAGUCGGGGGCUCAACCCUCGGAUGCCGGUGGAUACUGUCGGGCUAGAGUGCGGUAGAGGUCACGGGAAUUCCAGGUGUAGCGGUGAAAUGCGUAGAUAUCUGGAGGAACACCGGUGGCGAAAGCGCGUGACUGGGCCGUAACUGACGCUGAGGAACGAAAGCCAGGGGAGCGAAAGGG